rnacentral:misc_RNA from 1 species
AAAAUGCGAUACGUAAUGCGAAUUGCAGAAUUCAGUGAAUCAUCAAAUCUUUGAACGCAUCUGGCGCUUAUGGGUAACCCUGUAAGCACACUUUGUUGAGGGUCACUUCACAACAUCUCGUCUACGUGCUCACUGGGUGCGCAGGACGGAAUCAGAAUGGUUGACUUCAGUCUACCUGACGUGAGGCCGCUUCAACUCCGAUCUAGUUCUCAACUGGUUCGAUGCUGAUAAUUGACUUUAUGUCAUUUCACAUCUUCAUUGAACUUGGAGGGCAUGGACAGGAGACCUGAAGUGUUGAAAACAAGUAGGAAACUCUUUAUUUUGACCUCAACUAAAGUGAGAGAACCCGCCGAAUUUAA